GUGGGGAAUCUUGCGCAAUGGGCGAAAGCCUGACGCAGCGACGCCGCGUGAGUGAUGAAGGCCUUCGGGUUGUAAAGCUCUGUGGGGAGAGACGAAUAAGGCCAGUCGAACAGGCUGGUUGAUGACGGUAUCUCCUUAGCAAGCACCGGCUAACUCUGUGCCAGCAGCCGCGGUAAUACAGAGGGUGCAAACGUUGUUCGGAAUUACUGGGCGUAAAGCGUGUGUAGGCGGCCUGGCAGGUCGGACGUGAAAGCCCUCGGCUCAACCGGGGAAGUGCGUUCGAAACCGCCAGGCUCGAGUGUCGGAGAGGAAGGCGGAAUUGUCGGUGUAGAGGUGAAAUUCGUAGAUAUCGACAGGAACACCUGUGGCGAAAGCGGCCUUCUGGACGAACACUGACGCUGAGACACGAAAGCGUGGGGAGCAAACAGG
rnacentral:rRNA from 1 species